ensembl:miRNA
AGAGGCAGGCGGAUCUCUGUGAGUUCGAGGCCAGCCUGGUCUACAGAGCGAGUUCCAGGACAGCCUCCAAAACAACACAGAGAAACCCUGUCUAAAGAA